rnacentral:rRNA from 1 species
UACGGGGGGGGCAAGCGUUGUUCGGAAUUACUGGGCGUAAAGGGCUCGUAGGCGGCCAACUAAGUCAGACGUGAAAUCCCUCGGCUUAACCGGGGAACUGCGUCUGAUACUGGUUGGCUUGAAUCCGGGAGAGGGAUGUGGAAUUCCAGGUGUAGCGGUGAAAUGCGUAGAUAUCUGGAGGAAUACCGGUGGCGAAGGCGGCAUCCUGGACCGACAUUGACGCUGAGGAGCGAAAGCGUGGGGAGCGAUCCGG